GAAGCUGGUGUAUUUUCACUUUGUCCCAGUGUUCUUAAAUUCUAUGAGAUGACCCAUCCAUUCUCCUGCCUGGAGCAUCAAAUCUCCUGUCUGGUUGCUGACAUUCUGGAGCUGAUGGUGGGGAGAAGAUUAGUGGUCUCAACAUUCAUAUGAUCUUGCCACUCUCCCUUCAAAAGGUAGAGCCUGUUUUCCCUUCCUUUGAGUCUGAUCUGUCCCUGUGACCUGUUUGGAAUCAAGUGAUACUGUGUAACAUCCAAGGAUGACCCUUAAGAGAUCUACAGCUUCCUCAUUCACUUUUUGGAGUGGUCCUUCUUAGAACUCUUAUGCUAUGUUGUGAAGAAGCUUAAGUAGCUAUGUGGAGAAUCCUAUCUGGAGUAGAACUAAAUGCUCCAGCUGAAAACUCUGGCUCAGCAACCUUCUGGCAGCCAGCCAUGUGAGUGUAAGCAUUUUGAACUUUCCAGAUAUCCUUCUGUCUCAGCCAACAUCGUGUGAAGCAGAAGAAAUGCCUGGUCAAUUCACAGACUCAUGGAAGAUAAUAAAUUGUUUUUGUAAGCCGCUAAAUGUUGGGAUGCUGGCUACAUACCAAUAGACAACUAAAAUACUAAGUUCAUGUGACAGUUUUUUCUUCAGGAUCUCUAACUGCCCAUGGUUUUGUAAUUUCAGAUGAGGACUAGCAAUACAGGUAUUAUGUCACCAUUUGGAAUGAUCUUUGAAAGUUUCAAGAUCUCUUUGAAGAGAAGUAAAGACUGAAGAGAGGUGAGGAGCAAUAAGCAGGUUGCCAAUACUGGAAGAGACAUCAUUUAGAAAAUAGUCUGAAUAAAAGUAAAAUUUCAUUCUCCUGAUGUUAAAGUCUCCAUAAUUUAACAGUGUACUGCCUUUCAGCUUGGCAUCCUCACAACUCACCUUUUGCUUUCUUACUACCAUUCCUUCGCCUUGUGGUUUCCUCUGCUUAAAAUGCCUUUCUCCUCUUGAAUUACUUGAUAAAUAUCCAUUAUUGUUGGAAGGCCAGCUCAAUUGCUACUUUCCCUGGAAAGACAUCACUGAUUCUCUCAGCCAAAAAUUCUGUAUAUGCCUGAAUAGGAGAUAAUAUCAAAAUUAGUGGAUAGAAUAAAAAAUGUUGGCUAACUCGAAUAAAUAAACUGUAGUGAUGUAAAUUGGUCGAAUGUCUAGUGAUAAUAUCAAAUGUAUUAAUGGAGUUACAUAGGCAUAUUUAAAAUCACAUUACAUAAAAUAUCAAUUAUUUUAGAAAUAGUCCUUUGUUUUAGUCUCGCAUUUUUGAAACAAUUUCUUUAAAUUCGGCACCUACAUCUUCAGCAUCAUUGUCUUCAUGAUCACUGAAGUCAUUCCUAUUGGUCCUCUAACAUAGUUUUCCAGGAGAUACCAUCUUCUUUUCCAACUACAUUCAAGACAUCCCACUUCCUGUGAUGUUGCUACUGGAGACAUAACCCAAGCUGCAAAAAUUCAUUUCUAUGUAAUUAGAACAGUGUUUUAUUUCUUUAUUUUCUAUUCUUUCCUUUAGGCGUAUAUUAGUGAUUUCCACAAAUUAAUCAUGUAUCAUCAUUUGCACAUGUAAGGUCACAUGCCCCUGGAAUAAUUACUGAAUCUAGGUAAAAUGUAUUU
rnacentral:lncRNA from 1 species